rnacentral:rRNA from 1 species
GACGAACGCUGGCGGCGUGCUUAACACAUGCAAGUCGAACGGAAAGGCCCUGCUUUUGUGGGGUGCUCGAGUGGCGAACGGGUGAGUAACACGUGAGUAACCUGCCCUUGACUUUGGGAUAACUUCAGGAAACUGGGGCUAAUACCGGAUAGGAGCUCCUGCUGCAUGGUGGGGGUUGGAAAGUUUCGGCGGUUGGGGAUGGACUCGCGGCUUAUCAGCUUGUUGGUGGGGUAGUGGCUUACCAAGGCUUUGACGGGUAGCCGGCCUGAGAGGGUGACCGGCCACAUUGGGACUGAGAUACGGCCCAGACCCCUACGGGAGGCAGCAGUGGGGAAUAUUGCACAAUGGGCGGAAGCCUGAUGCAGCAACGCCGCGUGCGGGAUGACGGCCUUCGGGUUGUAAACCGCUUUCGCCUGUGACGAAGCGUGAGUGACGGUAAUGGGUAAAGAAGCACCGGCUAACCACGUG